rnacentral:rRNA from 1 species
GGCUCAGGACGAACGCUGGCGGCAUGCCUAACACAUGCAAGUCGCACGGAGUAAUGACUUCGGUUAUUACUUAGUGGCGAACGGGUGAGUAACACGUGAAUAAUCUGCCCUGUACGAUGGGAUAACAGCUGGAAACGGCUGCUAAUACCGUAUAUGACCACGCCGAGGCAUCUCGGAGGGGUGAAAGCGCUUAAGCGUACGGAGGAUGAGUUCGCGUCCAAUUAGCUAGUUGGUGAGGUAACGGCCCACCAAGGUGACGAUUGGUAGCCGACCUGAGAGGGUGAUCGGCCACACUGGAACUGAGACACGGUCCAGACUCCUACGGGAGGCAGCAGUGGGGAAUAUUGGGCAAUGGAGGAAACUCUUUAACCCCCAGCAAUGCCGCGUGAGUGAUGAAGGUCUUCGGAUUGUAAAGCUCUUUGAUUGGGGACGAAUAAAUGACGGUACCCAAGGAACAAGCCCCGGCUAACUAUGUGCCAGCCGCAGC